rnacentral:rRNA from 1 species
CUUGGUCAUUUAGAGGAAGUAAAAGUCGUAACAAGGUUUCUGUAGGUGAACCUGCAGAAGGAUCAUUAUUAAAAGAAUUAGAGUGCACUUUAUUGUGGCUCGACUCUCUUAUAAACCAAACCCAAACACUUUUAAAAACUUGGUUGCAUGACUCUCAAAGGUCAUUGCAAUUGAGUAUACGUAACAUUCUUAAUUGAAUUGUUGCAUUACCCCCCCUCCCUUUUUUUAUUUUUUUUAACAAAACACAAGUUUAAAUGAAUGUAACCAAACCUUUAAUUUAUAAAUAACUUUUAACAAUGGAUCUCUAGGCUCUCACAUCGAUGAAGAACACAGUGAAAUGUGAUAAGUAAUGUGAAUUGCAGAAUUCAGUGAAUCAUCGAAUCUUUGAACGCAUCUUGCACCUUUUGGUAUUCCAAAAGGUACACCUGUUUGAGUGUCAUGAAACCCUCUCAUUAAACAUUUUUUUUUAAUAAUUUGUUUAUUGGAUGUUGAGUGUUGCUAUAAUUAUAGCUCACUUUAAAUAUAUAAGUCACUUUUCAAAUAAGUUGGAUUGACUUGGUGUAAUAAUUUUAUCAUCACAUCAAGGAAAGUAGUAAAACACUUGCCAUCUUUUUUGUAACAAGAGACUCCUAAAAACCCAAUAUCUAUUUUUUUAAGACCUCAAAUCAGGUGGGACUACCCGCUGAACUUAAGCAUAUCAAUAAGCGGAGGAAAAGAAACUAACAAGGAUUCCCCUAGUAACGGCGAGUGAAGAGGGAAAAGCCCAAAUUUGUAAUCUGGCUCUUUCAGAGUCCGAGUUGUAAUUUUAAGAACUGUUUUCAGUGCUGGACCGUGUACAAGUCUCCUG